GAUGAAGAACGUAGCGAAAUGCGAUAAGUAAUGUGAAUUGCAGAAUUCAGUGAAUCAUCGAAUCUUUGAACGCACAUUGCGCCCCUUGGUAUUCCGGGGGGCAUGCCUGUUCGAGCGUCAUUUCAACCCUCAAGCUCUGCUUGGUAUUGGGCACCGUCCUUUGCGGGCGCGCCUCAAAGACCUCGGCGGUGGCGCCUUGCCUCAAGCGUAGUAGAAUACACCUCGCUUCGGAGCGUAAGGCGUCGCCCGCCGGACGAACCUUCUGAACUUUUCUCAAGGUUGACCUCGGAUCAGGUAUGGAUACCCGCUGAACUUAAGCAUAUCAAUAAGCGGAGGA
rnacentral:misc_RNA from 1 species